AGUGAACGCUGGCGGUAGGCCUAACACAUGCAAGUCGAACGGCAGCACAGUAAGAGCUUGCUCUUACGGGUGGCGAGUGGAGGACGGGUGAGGAAUACAUCGGAAUCUACUUUUUCGUGGGGGAUAACGUAGGGAAACUUACGCUAAUACCGCAUACGACCUACGGGUGAAAGCAGGGGAUCUUCGGACCUUGCGCGAUUGAAUGAGCCGAUGUCGGAUUAGCUAGUUGGCGGGGUAAAGGCCCACCAAGGCGACGAUCCGUAGCUGGUCUGAGAGGAUGAUCAGCCACACUGGAACUGGGACACGGUCCAGACUCCUACGGGAGGCAGCAGUGGGGAAUAUUGGACAAUGGGCGCAAGCCUGAUCCAGCCAUGCCGCGUGGGUGAAGAAGGCCUUCGGGUUGUAAAGCCCUUUUGUUGGGAAAGAAAAGCAGCAGGUUAAUACCCCGCUGUUCUGACGGUACCCAAAGAAUAAGCACCGGCUAACUUCGU
rnacentral:rRNA from 1 species